CAAUAGCGUAUAUUAAAGUUGUUGCAGUUAAAAAGCUCGUAGUUGGAUUUCUGGUAGGAGUGACCGUUCCGAACUUGAUUGUUCGUGUAUUGUGUUUUCUCCAGCCAUCCUUGUGGAGAACUUUUCUUGCAUUAAUUUGUAGGGAUUGGGACCCGCAUCGGUUACUGUGAAAAAAUUAGAGUGUUUAAAGCAGGCAAUCGCUUGAAUACAUUAGCAUGGAAUAAUAAGAUAGGACUUUGGUACUAUUUUGUUGGUUUGCAUACCAAAUUAAUGAUCAACAGGAACAGUUUGAGGAUAUUCGUAUGAACAUGUCAGAGGUGAAAUUCUUGGAUUUUGAUCAGACGAACUACUGCGAAAGCAUUUAUCAAGGAUGUUUUCAUUAA
rnacentral:rRNA from 1 species